rnacentral:rRNA from 1 species
AUUGAACGCUGGCGGCAUGCCUUACACAUGCAAGUCGAACGGCAGCACGGGAGCAAUCCUGGUGGCGAGUGGCGAACGGGUGAGUAAAGUAUCGGAACGUGCCCAGUCGUGGGGGAUAACGUAGCGAAAGUUACGCUAAUACCGCAUACGAUCUAUGGAUGAAAGCGGGGGAUCGCAAGACCUCGCGCGAUUGGAGCGGCCGAUAUCAGACUAGGUAGUUGGUGGGGUAAAGGCUCACCAAGCCGACGAUCUGUAGCUGGUCUGAGAGGACGAGCAGCCACACUGGGACUGAGACACGGACCAGACUCCUACGGGAGGCAGCAGUGGGGAAUUUUGGACAAUGGGCGAAAGCCUGAUCCAGCCAUGCCGCGUGCAGGAUGAAGGCCUUCGGGUUGUAAACUGCUUUUGUACGGAACGAAAAGGUUUGGCCUAAUAAGCUGAGCUCAUGACGGUACCGUAAGAAUAAGCACCGGCUAACUACGUGCCAGCCGCCGCCGUAA